GACGAACGCUGGCGGCGUGCUUAACACAUGCAAGUCGAACGGAAAGGCCCCCACUUUUUUGGUGGGGGUGCUCGAGUGGCGAACGGGUGAGUAACACGUGGGUGAUCUGCCCUGUACUUCGGGAUAAGCUUGGGAAACUGGGUCUAAUACCGGAUAGGACCAUGGUUUAGUGUCUCAUGGUGGAAAAAUUAUUGUUUUGGUGCAGGAUGAGCUCGCGGCCUAUCAGCUUGUUGGUGGGGUAAUGGCCUACCAAGGCGUCGACGGGUAGCCGGCCUGAGAGGGUGGACGGCCACAGUGGGACUGAGAUACGGCCCAGACUCCUACGGGAGGCAGCAGUGGGGAAUAUGGCACAAUGGGCGCAAGCCUGAUGCAGCGACGCCGCGUGGGGGAUGACGGCCUUCGGGUUGUAAACUCCUUUCGUUAGGGACGAAGCCGCACCUUUUUGGGGUGUGGUGACGGUACCUUUGUUAAGAAGCACCGGCUAACUACGUG
rnacentral:rRNA from 1 species